AGUGAACGCUGGCGGUAGGCCUAACACAUGCAAGUCGAACGGCAGCACAGUAAGAGCUUGCUCUUACGGGUGGCGAGUGGCGGACGGGUGAGGAAUACAUCGGAAUCUACUUUUUCGUGGGGGAUAACGUAGGGAAACUUACGCUAAUACCGCAUACGACCUACGGGUGAAAGCAGGGGAUCUUCGGACCUUGCGCGAUUGAAUGAGCCGAUGUCGGAUUAGCUAGUUGGCGGGGUAAAGUCCCACCAAGGCGACGAUCCGUAGCUGGUCUGAGAGGAUGAUCAGCCACACUGGAACUGAGACACGGUCCAGACUCCUACGGGAGGCAGCAGUGGGGAAUAUUGGACAAUGGGCGGAAGCCUGAUCCAGCCAUACCGCGUGGGUGAAGAAGGCCUUCGGGUUGUAAAGCCCUUUUGUUGGGAAAGAAAAGCAGCAGGUUAAUACCCCGCUGUUCUGACGGUACCCAAAGAAUAAGCACCGGCUAACUUCGUG
rnacentral:rRNA from 1 species